UGUUCUGUGUGCUGUGUUUCCAGCGACAGGUCAGUGAGUCAGUGUGCAUCCUGACCACUCAAGCAAUAAUGAAGCUGUUGAAAUCCUAAGAAGCAGCAGUGGAUGUGAAAACAUGACUAGGGUACAAGAUAGAGGAUUCUUCAGAAUUAAAGCCAACAGCCCCUUUUGCACCUGGACUUUAGCGUCUUGUCCACAGGGAGUGAAGGUAUGGCCAACCAUUCUCUGUUCCUUGUCAGCCCUGUCCUUCUUAUAUUGUUCAAAACAUGUGUAAAGGGUGUUUCUGUUUUACCCUGACACACUCUCCUCAGGAAAUGUUAAGCUGCAAUGAAUCACAUGGUAAGAAUUCUACCCAUCACCACCAGUGUUAAUACAGUAAUACUCCAUGGUCACUUUGAG
rnacentral:lncRNA from 1 species